rnacentral:rRNA from 1 species
AUUGAACGCUGGCGGCAGGCUUAACACAUGCAAGUCGAGCGGGCGAGGUUGCUUCGGUAACUGAGCUAGCGGCGGACGGGUGAGUAAAGCUUAGGAAUCUGCCUAUUAGUGGGGGACAACAUUCCGAAAGGGAUGCUAAUACCGCAUACGUCCUACGAGAGAAAGCAGGGGCUCUUUAUGACCUUGCUCUAAUAGAUGAGCCUAAGUCGGAUUAGCUAGUUGGUGGGGUAAAGGCCUACCAAGGCGACGAUCUGUAGCGGGUCUGAGAGGAUGAUCCGCCACACUGGGACUGAGACACGGCCCAGACUCCUACGGGAGGCAGCAGUGGGGAAUAUUGGACAAUGGGGGGAACCCUGAUCCAGCCAUGCCGCGUGUGUGAAGAAGGCCUUUUGGUUGUAAAGCACUUUAAGUGGGGAGGAGGCUUACCUGGUUAAUACCUGGGCUAAGUGGACGUUACCCACAGAAUAAGCACCGGCUAACUCUGUGCCAGCAGCCGCCGUAAGAC